rnacentral:rRNA from 1 species
CUGGCUCAGGAUGAACGCUGGCGGCGUGCUUAACACAUGCAAGUCGAACGGAGCUUACUGGAAAGCUUGCUUUCUUUAAGCUUAGUGGCGGACGGGUGAGUAACGCGUGAGCAACCUGCCCUUCAGUGGGGAAUAACACCGAGAAAUCGGUGCUAAUACCGCAUAAUGUCGGAGGACCGCAUGAUCUUCCGACCAAAGGAUUUAUUCGCUGAAGGAUGGGCUCGCGUCCGAUUAGGCAGUUGGCGGGUAACGGCCCACCAAACCGACGAUCGGUAGCCGAACUGAGAGGUUGAUCGGCCACAUUGGGACUGAGACACGGCCCAGACUCCUACGGGAGGCAGCAGUGGGGAAUAUUGGGCAAUGGGCGAAAAGCCUGACCCAGCAACGCCGCGUGAAGGAUGAAGGUCUUCGGAUUGUAAACUUCUUUGAUUGGGGAAGAAUAAAUGACCUACCCAAAGAACAAGUCACGGCUAACUACGUGCCAGCCGCUGC